GAUGAACGCUGGCGGCGUGCCUAAUACAUGCAAGUCGAGCGAACGGACGAGAAGCUCUCUCUUCUGAUGUUAGCGGCGGACGGGCGAGUAACACAUGGAUAACCUACCUAUAACACUGGGAUAACUUCGGGAAACCGGAGCUACUACCGGAUAAUAUUUUGAACCGCCUGGUUCAAAAGUGAAAGACGGUCUUGCUGUCACCUAUAGAUGGAUCCGCGCUGCAUUAGCUAGUUGGUAAGGUAACGGCUUACCAAGGCAACGAUGCAUAGCCGACCUGAGAGGGUGAUCGGCCACACUAGAACGGAGACACGGUCCAGACUCCUACGGGAGGCAGCAGUAGGGAAUCUUCCGCAAUGGGCGAAAGCCUGACGGAGAAACGCCGCGUGAGUGAUGAAGGGCUUCGGAUCGUAAAUCUCUGUUAUUAGGGAAGAACAUAUGUGUAAGUAACUGUGCACAUCUUGACGGUACCUAAUCAGAAAGCCACGGCUAACUACGUG
rnacentral:rRNA from 1 species